rnacentral:rRNA from 1 species
UACGUAGGGGGCAAGCGUUGUCCGGAUUUAUUGGGCGUAAAGAGCGUGUAGGCGGCCAGGUAAGUCCGCUGUGAAAGUCCAGGGCUCAACCCUGGGAUGCCGGUGGAUACUGUCGGGCUCGAGUCCGGAAGAGGCGAGUGGAAUUCCUGGUGUAGCGGUGAAAUGCGCAGAUAUCAGGAGGAACACCAAUGGCGAAGGCAGCUCGCUGGGACGUGACUGACGCUGAGACGCGAAAGCGUGGGGAGCAAACAGG